UACGGAGGGUGCAAGCGUUAUCCGGAUUCACUGGGUUUAAAGGGUGCGUAGGAGGGCAGGUAAGUCAGUGGUGAAAUCUCUGAGCUUAACUUGGAAACUGCCGUUGAUACUAUCUGCCUUGAAUAUUGUGGAGGUGAGCGGAAUAUGUCAUGUAGCGGUGAAAUGCUUAGAUAUGACAUAGAACACCAAUUGCGAAGGCAGCUCGCUACACAUAUAUUGACUCUGAGGCACGAAAGCGUGGGGAUCAAACAGG
rnacentral:rRNA from 1 species